GCACGUCAAAUUGAUCGGCACGUUCCAGAAUGGCAUGUCCGAAUCGAAUGCAAUGAUGAAGCACAUUUGAAUAAUAACACUGGAGAUUUUCUUUAAAAGAGGUGUAUUCCUCCGUCUUGAUGGUGCAAGUCUGACAUUUGACCUCACAACACCAAUGAAAUUUGCAGUUGCACUGGUGGGAAACGUGAUUGAAUUGGUGAGUGUUGUAACCUCUUCCACAGCACAGCAAGUUGCAGCCAUCAGCACCUGAGUUAGGAAAACCCGGCAAGAAGAAAAGAUUCCUCCGACGCCCAAUGAACUGUGUACCAUCAGAGUCAGCCGUUUGGCGUUGAGCAUCGUCAGCACAGAGUCUUGAAAUAAUUGGACAAUCACAGCUUCGGCCGCCACUUGUAAGCAUUCCAGAGCUUCAGCCGUGAAACUUAAGUCGUAGACGCAAGCGAUUUUUAAUAUCGAUGAUUGUUAAAUUUGUUAAGUUAAAUAAACGUGU